rnacentral:rRNA from 1 species
AGCAGCCGCGGUAAUUCCAGCUCCAAUAGCGUAUAUUAAAGUUGUUGCAGUUAAAAAGCUCGUAGUUGAAUUUCGGGGUUAGUAGGUUGGUCAUGCCUCUGGUAUGUACUGGUCUCACUGAUUCCUCCUUCCUUAUGAACCGUAAUGCCAUUAAUUUGGUGUUGCGGGAAAUUUGGACUGUUAC